GCCCGUCAAAUUAAGUGCCAGCUGACGCGGUUAAACUUAAGGGCUGGUCUUUAUAGGUAAAAAGGCGUAGAGGAUGUGUAGGCCAAGAAAUUAUCUAAGAAGGUAAAUGGAAUUUUUCUGGAGCGGUAGAAUGUGAAGAUAGAAAAUAGAACACCUAAGGUUAAAACUAUUUACCACAAAAUAGGCUGAAACAUGAGAGAGUGGGGAGCAAACAGGAUUAGAGACCCUGGUAGUCCACUCUGUAAACUUUGAAGAUUAUGUUUAGCAGGCCCGAAAGGUAAAAUCUUCCGCCUGAGUAGUACGAUCGCAAGAUUAAAAUUCAAAAACUUUGGCUGUUCACUACUUCGAUUAGAGGAGCGUGUAGUUUAAUUCGAUGGUCCGCGUGUUACCUUACCCCAGCUUGAAUCUAUGACCGGUAUUGCAUGGCCGUCGUAAGUCCCUGUGUUAAACUAAAAGGGGCCCAAUCCAGGCGUUUGCCUGAAGGAAGUCAGGUCUUAUGGUCCG
rnacentral:rRNA from 1 species